GGUGGACCAGUCAUAGUCAGUACAUUCAUCUCCAGAUAGCUAGGUGGACCAGUCAUAGUCAGUACAUUCAUCUCCAGAUAGCUAGGUGGACCAGUCAUAGUCAGUCCAUUCAUCUCCAGAUAGCUAGGUGGACCAGUCAUAGUUAGUACAUUCAUCUCCAGAUAGCUAGGUGGACCAGUCAUAGUCAGUCCAUUCAUCUCCAGAUAGCUAGGUGGACCAGUCAUAGUCAGUACAUUCAUCUCCAGAUAGCUAGGUGGACCAGUCAUAGUCAGUACAUUCAUCUCCAGAUAGCUAGGUGGACCAGUCAUAGUCAGUCCAUUCAUCUCCAGAUAGCUAGGUGGACCAGUCAUAGUCAGUCCAUUCAUCUCCAGAUAGCUAGGUGGACCAGUCAUAGUCAGUCCAUUCAUCUCCA
rnacentral:lncRNA from 1 species